GAUGAACACUAGCGGCAGGCCUAACACAUGCAAGUCGAGGGAUAAGCCUUCGGGCUAAGCCCGGCGCACGGGUGCGUAACGCGUAUACAAUCUGCCUUUUAUCCGGGGGAUAGCCCGAAGAAAUUUGGAUUAAUACCCUAUGGUAUAAGAGCACGGCAUCGUGCACUUAUUAAAGCUACGGCGGUAAAAGAUGAGUAUGCGUUCUAUUAGCUAGUUGGAGAGGUAACGGCUCCCCAAGGCGACGAUAGAUAGGGGUUCUGAGAGGGAUGUCCCCCACACUGGUACUGAGAUACGGACCAGACUCCUACGGGAGGCAGCAGUGAGGAAUAUUGGACAAUGGUCGGAAGACUGAUCCAGCCAUGCCGCGUGCAGGAUGACGGCCUUAUGGGUUGUAAACUGCUUUUGUAAGGGAAGAAUAAGGAGUACGUGUACUUUGAUGACGGUACCUUACGAAUAAGCAUCGGCUAACUCCGUG
rnacentral:rRNA from 1 species